AUUGAACGCUGGCGGCAGGCUUAACACAUGCAAGUCGAGCGGGCGAGGUUGCUUCGGUAACUGAGCUAGCGGCGGACGGGUGAGUAAUGCUUAGGAAUCUGCCUAUUAGUGGGGGACAACAUUCCGAAAGGAAUGCUAAUACCGCAUACGCCCUACGGGGGAAAGCAGGGGAUCUUCGGACCUUGCGCUAAUAGAUGAGCCUAAGUCAGAUUAGCUAGUUGGUGGGGUAAAGGCCUACCAAGGCGACGAUCUGUAGCGGGUCUGAGAGGAUGAUCCGCCACACUGGGACUGAGACACGGCCCAGACUCCUACGGGAGGCAGCAGUGGGGAAUAUUGGACAAUGGGCGCAAGCCUGAUCCAGCCAUGCCGCGUGUGUGAAGAAGGCCUUUUGGUUGUAAAGCACUUUAAGCGAGGAGGAGGCUACCGAGAUUAAUACUCUUGGAUAGUGGACGUUACUCGCAGAAUAAGCACCGGCUAACUCUGUGCCAGCAGCCGCGGUAA
rnacentral:rRNA from 1 species